rnacentral:rRNA from 1 species
CCUACGGGUGGCAGCAGUGAGGAAUAUUGGUCAAUGGACGAGAGUCUGAACCAGCCAAGUAGCGUGAAGGAUGACUGCCCUAUGGGUUGUAAACUUCUUUUAUAUGGGAAUAAAACGUUCCACGUGUGGGAUUUUGUAUGUACCAUAUGAAUAAGGAUCGGCUAACUCCGUGCCAGCAGCCGCGGUAAUACGGAGGAUUCGAGCGUUAUCCGGAUUUAUUGGGUUUAAAGGGAGCGUAGGUGGAUUGUUAAGUCAGUUGUGAAAGUUUGCGGCUCAACCGUAAAAUUGCAGUUGAUACUGGCAGUCUUGAGUACAGUAGAGGUGGGCGGAAUUCGUGGUGUAGCGGUGAAAUGCUUAGAUAUCACGAAGAACUCCGAUGGCGAAGGCAGUUCACUGGACUGCAACUGACACUGAGGCUCGAAAGUGUGGGUAUCAAACAGGAUUAGAUACCCGAGUAGUC